rnacentral:rRNA from 1 species
CCUACGGGAGGCAGCAGUGGGGAAUAUUGGACAAUGGGCGAAAGCCUGAUCCAGCCAUGCCGCGUGUGUGAAGAAGGCCUUCGGGUUGUAAAGCACUUUCAGUGGGGAAGAAAGCCGUUGGGCUAAUACCCUCGAGGAAGGACAUCACCCACAGAAGAAGCAACGGCUAACUCCGUGCCAGCAGCCGCGGUAAUACGGAGGGUGCGAGCGUUAAUCGGAAUUACUGGGCGUAAAGCGCGCGUAGGCGGUCUGAUAAGCCGGUUGUGAAAGCCCCGGGCUCAACCUGGGAACGGCAUCCGGAACUGUCAGGCUAGAGUGCAGGAGAGGAAGGUAGAAUUCCCGGUGUAGCGGUGAAAUGCGUAGAGAUCGGGAGGAAUACCAGUGGCGAAGGCGGCCUUCUGGACUGACACUGACGCUGAGGUGCGAAAGCGUGGGUAGCAAACAGGAUUAGAUACCCGGGUAGUC